rnacentral:rRNA from 1 species
GACGUAGGGCGCGAGCGUUGUCCGGAUUUAUUGGGCGUAAAGAGCUCGUAGGCGGCUUGUCGCGUCGACCGUGAAAACUUGGGGCUCAACCCCAAGCCUGCGGUCGAUACGGGCAGGCUAGAGUUCGGUAGGGGAGACGUGGAAUUCCUGGUGUAGCGGUGAAAUGCGCAGAUAUCAGGAGGAACACCGAUGGCGAAGGCAGGUCUCUGGGCCGAUACUGACGCUGAGGAGCGAAAGCGUGGGGAGCGAACAGG